rnacentral:tRNA from 1 species
GUAUAUAACUCAAAUGGUAGAGCAAAUUUUUUAAAAAAAUUUGAUUUUUGAGUUCAAAUCUCGAUGUAUAUA